CCUACGGGAGGCAGCAGUGAGGAAUAUUGGUCAAUGGACGAGAGUCUGAACCAGCCAAGUAGCGUGAAGGAUGACUGCCCUAUGGGUUGUAAACUUCUUUUAUAAAGGAAUAAAACGAGGCACGUGUGCCUUUUUGCAUGUACUUUAUGAAUAAGGAUCGGCUAACUCCGUGCCAGCAGCCGCGGUAAUACGGAGGAUCCGAGCGUUAUCCGGAUUUAUUGGGUUUAAAGGGAGCGUAGAUGGAUUGUUAAGUCAGUUGUGAAAGUUUGCGGCUCAACCGUAAAAUUGCAAUUGAUACUGGGAGUCUGGAGUACAGUAUAGGUGGGCGGAAUGCGUGGUGUAGAGGUGAAAUGCGUAGAGAGCACGAAGAACUGCGAGUGCGAAGGCAGCUGACGGGACUGCAACUGACACUGAGGUUUGAAAGUGUGGGUAGCAAACAGGAUGAGAGACCCUUGUAGGC
rnacentral:rRNA from 1 species